UACGUAGGGGGCAAGCGUUGUCCGGAAUCAUUGGGCGUAAAGCGCGUGUAGGCGGCCAGAAAAGUCCGCUGUGAAAACUCGAGGCUCAACUUCGAGCUGUCGGUGGAAACUUUCUGGCUAGAGUCCGGAAGAGGGGAAUGGAAUUCCUGGUGUAGCGGUGAAAUGCGCAGAUAUCAGGAAGAACACCCGUGGCGAAGGCGGUUCUCUGGGACGGUACUGACGCUGAGACGCGAAAGCGUGGGGAGCGAACAGG
rnacentral:rRNA from 1 species